AAAGCUUCGUGAGCGCAGUGUUCUCGCCGCUUCGGUCGCGUUGAAGCCUUGAAGCGAGAGCUAGCACGAAGGUGAAUUCACUCGCUGCUGCGGGUUCUAUAUUGAAAGAUAUCGUGCGGUACGGACUGACGGACGGAUGGUUUUUCUUGUUGGGGAAGUAUAGAAAUGCUUACGUUAUAAAAAAAAUCGCAGGGUUCGCGAAUUUCGCGAUAAGAACCAACACCAACCUACUCCCCCACCCCCCGCUGAGCGAUGCCGUCUUGAUCGCCCCCUCCCAACCCCAGGAAAAGGGACACUACCUUUCUAUCUCAGUUGAAGAAAGGAUGAUGAAGCGUUAACAACGACAAUAACGGCAUUUUCUAACGAGUUGUCUUAUGGCCUCUGAGAUUUGCGCGCGAAGCUGGCGCGCGCGAACCUGAGAGGCCAUAAUUGGCCGCUUAAUAGCAUAAAAAGACAAAGAUAAUGCCAAACGACACAACUAAAAAUUCAAACAAAGAACUGAUCUUAGCUAUACUGUUUGGGGAAAAGAAAUAAAAAAUUAGACAGCCGCAACACACGCCACUAAAGCCACCACCGCCGGCAUAACGCGGAACCAACUGUUGGCAACAUUCAUUCGCGCGUCAUUGCUUCGUCCGCGUCGUCUCCGCAACGAGAGCCGCCAUCUUCUCGCGCCUAACGUUUUGUAUGGUUUUGUUCUCUGCAAUCCGCGCACACAGCUCAUCGGUGGUUGCACGUCUGCUCGGCGUCGCAAUGCGGCCUGCGUCAUUUUCUGGUGCUCGCGCAAUCGGUGUGAAACAUGUCGCAUGUGAAAUGUUUGAUAGAAGUGCCUCACGUCCAAGUCAAGCCGCCGUACGGGUGUAUGGCUGUGCGCCCCGUUCUCGGAAGCGUCGACGGGUUUCCGGCAUGCGGAUUUCAGCGUUUGGACUCUACUUUUGGUGAGGAUGUCGAUCGACCUUGGGCCUGGCGACAGCACACCCGACAUCGCCAAAGUGCAGCCUAUCAGUUGAGUGCCCCCGAAUGGACCAUCAACAUUGGAAAAUGAAGCAGAGCCAGGAAGGCUAUCAGCAGUCGUUGCGUUCUCUUCCUGAAUGCCGCGGGCCCUCCGGGGAAAACAACGUCUUCAAAGGUCCUGUGCGAUACAAGGCUCGCUGCGCUGCUGUGUGACGUGGGAUCUCGAGGAGCAACACGAGGGCGACAUGUUUCUGUUUCCCAGCGGACGUGUGAAAUCACAUAUGACGAGAUGACGCUAAAUUGGGAGUCCUAGCAAGGCUGACGCGGGAGCAGAUGUGUAACGGCUACAGCCUCUGCACGGACCACUCCGGAGGAAGGGACUACGCCAAACCCGUUCUGGUUGCUGAGCUGUACCGACUGUUGGAGUGGAAGAGCAGGCCCUGAUCAAUGAAGUUCAGCUUAUUCUUCGCACGGAUAUCCGCGCCUAUGCUUAUGGUUGGACCAGGCGCUCCUGUAUUGACGCCGUUGCCGUUAUCAUCACCGCUCCUGAUACCCUCGGCGACAGCGAGCGAUUGUGACGGGUCCUGUGAGCUUUGCCCUGGCACCACCUUCUCUUCAAGGUCAAGCACGACGUCAUCGCUGCCACCGACAAAACUUUGCCUCCGCGAUAUAAAUGACUUGCAUCGGCUUUCUGUCUUCAGUGGGUGCGGGAGAGCAGUGACGCGAUUGUUUUUAUUGCUCAAAAUCCCCUUCUGCUUUCAUAUGCUGGUUACUGCAGCUGGUCUCGUUGCACUAAACGUUCGAUCGACAAGUGUCUCUUGCUCUUCUGGUGCCCAAGUGUUGUUUGGGAUACCUUGAACGAAUUUAUAUUUGUUCUCCUGGUGCUAAGAACAAAACACUGGUCCGCCUCAGCAUGGCCCUAGUGAAUUGCACUAGGAACUGCUUGGUGUCAUUGCUUUGUCAAAGAUGUCAUUGCUGCUUGAUGCCUUGUCAACUUAAUUUCACGAGCGUCAUACGUUUUUAACCGGAUAUUUCGCCGACGUAAACGAAAAGCAAGAGGCAUUUACGCAACAAGUCACAGAUCUCACAGAAAUGGUAACUUUCAAAUCUAUACAAUCCAUUGAAAUGCGUCGGCACCAGCUCAAGUUAACCGCCUUAUUCACGAAACCAUCAGAAAUUAAUGUGCCACAGUCAGCUCAAGGCUUGACGAGUUGGAAGACCAGUGCCGAAGGGUUAAUUUCUUAUUUUACGGAAUAUCUGAAAGUGCUAACGAGACGUAGGCACACUCCGAAGACUGUGUUGAAGAUCUGCCGUCACGCCAUCUAAGAUUGAACGUUACGGACGGUAUGAUCGACAGAGCGCACUGGGUGGGUUCCAUUGAACAACUAAAGAAGCGCCGAGUUAUGGUCAAGUUUUCGUGUAUUAAAACCAAAAAGUUAGAUCUCUCUCACAAAGCUUAUCUGAAGACAGGUGCCAUUUCUUUGGGCGAAUACUUCUGCAGAUCAAACGCUUCUCACGAAAAGAAUAGAAUGCGGAAAUCUAGCGGCCAACCCUUUUGACUGCGCUUUUUUUUACAAGCUUAUCAUUAACAAAAAAUGAUACAUCUACGGCGCAGCUACUGAUACCGUUUGUGAAGUCGACUCUCCUCGUCUCUCCUCGUCAGGCACGCCUACCUGCUAAUCGCAACGCGGCUUCAAGCACUACUGGCAAUUCGUCACUGCCAUUUGUGCAUUUCUGCAUUUGGGUUUUUCUGCAGUUAUCAAUAAAAAAAGCCAAUAAUUUGUACUCAAGUAACUUUUAUUAAAGUGGCAUAUCUGCGCGCCUACCAAAUAGAUAUAAAAUUGUAACCUCAAGCAAUGUUUAAUACAGGCCAUAUUAUCACAAUUUUUGCAUCAAUGAAAUAAAAGGCAUGAAGUAAACUUUAGUAUACCUAAACGCAGCCUUUUUUGUAUUGUAAUGUUUUGCAUAAGCACGCAGUUUUCCACCUCUUGACCCUCCCGUAAUUCUGUGCGUGCCCAUGAAUGUAGGACAACUGACUCUCCGGCCGUCCGUCAAACUUCACCGCAAUGAACUCGUAGUAGCCUAAUUCACCGAGGAUUACAUCCCAAAAAUCUUAUUUCAGAAGGUCAGCCGAAUUUCAGUAACUUUCA